rnacentral:rRNA from 1 species
AGACCCGAAACCCGGUGAUCUAGCCAUGGGCAGGUUGAAGGUUGGGUAACACUAACUGGAGGACCGAACCGACUAAUGUUGAAAAAUUAGCGGAUGACCUGUGGCUGGGGGUGAAAGGCCAAUCAAACCGGGAGAUAGCUGGUUCUCCCCGAAAGCUAUUUAGGUAGCGCCUCGUGAAUUCAUCUCCGGGGGUAGAGCACUGUUUCGGCUAGGGGGCCAUCCCGGCUUACCAACCCGAUGCAAACUGCGAAUACCGGAGAAUGUUAUCACGGGAGACACACGGCGGGUGCUAACGUCCGUCGUGAAGAGGGAAACAACCCAGACCGCCAGCUAAGGUCCCAAAGUCAUGGUUAAGUGGGAAACGAUGUGGGAAGGCCCAGACAGCCAGGAUGUUGGCUUAGAAGCAGCCAUCAUUUAAAGAAAGCGUAAUAGCUCACUGGUCGAGUCGGCCUGCGCGGAAGAUGUAACGGGGCUAAACCAUGCACCGAAGCUGCGGCAGCGACGCUGAUGCGUUGUUGGGUAGGGGAGCGUUCUGUAAGCCUGUGAAGGUGUGUCGUGAGGCAUGCUGGAGGUAUCAGAAGUGCGAAU